CUGGCCGCUGGCAGCCCUGCUGGUGGGUCCUGCCUCUUUGACACCGUUCCUUUCUGAAGCUUGUUUUCCCCAGUGUUGGAAGUAGCAGCACUGGAGGAAUGGCCUUCGUCCUACAGCAAAGCUCUGCCAGGAGAGGAGGAGAAGACAUAGAGCAUCUGUUGAGGGACAUGACGUUCUGGGCACUGCACCAUGCCUUCUGCUUCUCAGCAGUGCCUCCUGGUUGAUGUUACAGUCACCUGGCAUCGCCCAGGAGGUAACUCGCAGAGGUAGGCAGGGAGCCGAAGGAGCUCAGGAAGGAGUGAGCCGUCACAGGGUGGGGGAGGUUCAGGAGCUAGCAGGCAAGUGGGAUGUGGCCUCAAGGUGCUGCUGGGUUGGUGAGGGGUCUUCUGGGACUUUUCUGAGAGUGCAGUCAGUUGUAGGGUGGGUGCCGGCUCCCGCAGAUAGAAGAGCCAAGUGUGCAGGAGACCAACGUGUGCACUGGGAGUCCCCAGGGGCGUGUCCUGGCACGCGGCCCAGAGGCCCCUGAGAAGGCUCAGUGCACCAGGCACACAGCGGAUUGUUGGUGCUUGACCCGACGAGAAGGUGAGGAAGUGAGGAGGUGAGGAGGGCCGAGAGACAGGUGCAGGGAUGCACUAGACAGGGUGCAGUCAGGUGGAGGGUCACACUGUGGGGUUGACGAGAGACGGGUGUGGUCAGUGUGGAGGGUCAUGCUGUGGGAUCCAGGAGAGAUGGGGGUGGUCAGGUGGAGGGUCAUUCUUGGGGUUCCAGGAGAGACAGGUGUGGUUGGGUGGAGGGUCACACUGUGGGGUCCAGGAGAGAUGGGUGUGGUCAGUGUGGAGGGUCACGCUGGGGGGUCCAGGAGAGACGGGUGUGGUCGGGUGGAGGGUCACGCUGUGGGGUCCAGGAGAGACGGGUGUGGUCAGGUGGAGGGUCACACUGUGGGGUUGAGGAGAGACGGGUGUGGUCAGGUGAAGGGUCACACUGUGGGGUCCAGGAGAGAUGGGUGUGGUCAGUGUGGAGGGUCACGCUGUGGGGUCCAGGAGAGAUGGGUGUGGUCAGUGUGGAGGGUCACGCUGUGGGGUCCAGGAGAGAUGGGUGUGGUCAGGUGAAGGGUCACACUGUGGGGUCCAGGAGAGAUGGGGGUGGUCAGGUGAAGGGUCACACUGUGGGGUCCAGGAGAGAUGGGUGUGGUCAGGUGAAGGGUCACACUGUGGGGUCCAGGAGAGAUGGGUGUGGUCAGGUGAAGGGUCACGCUGUGGGGUCCAGGAGAGAUGGGGGUGGUCAGUGUGGAGGGUCACACUGUGGGGUUGAGGAGAGAUGGAUGUGGUCAGUGUGGAGGGUCACUCUGGGGGGUCCAGGAGAGAUGGGUGUGGUUGGGUGGAGGGUCACGCUGUGGGGUCCAGGAGAGACGGGUGUGGUCAGGUGAAGGGGUCACGCUGUGGGGUCCAGGAGAGAUGGGUGUGGUCGGGUGGAGGGUCACGAAGUGGGGUGCAGGAGAGAUGGGUGUGGUCAGGUGGAAGGUCACGCUGUGGUGUCUGGGAAAUGUGUUUUUGCUUUUGGCUGAGCAGCUGGACCUGAGCAUGUCUGUGCUUUGACAUUUAACCUGUGCACUGUCCUCGGCAGGGUGUGUGCCUCUGUGACAGAGGACACCUCAGCCAGAGUGGAUGUCGGCGGUGGUGGCCGGACUCAGGGUCCAUGAAUGUUGCGUGGUAGAACGUGUUUGGUAUAUUCUGAGCUCCUGCCCAAGUGCCUCCCAA
rnacentral:lncRNA from 1 species